GCAUUCCUACGGGGCGCAGCAGUGAGGAAUAUUGGUCAAUGGCCGAGAGGCUGAACCAGCCACGUCGCGUGAGGGAUGACGGCCCUACGGGUUGUAAACCUCUUUUGUCGGGGAGCAAGACCCGCCUCGUGCAGGCGGAGCGAGAGUACCCGAAGAAAAAGCAUCGGCUAACUCCGUGCCAGCAGCCGCGGUAAUACGGAGGAUGCGAGCGUUAUCCGGAUUUAUUGGGUUUAAAGGGUUAGC
rnacentral:rRNA from 1 species